AUUUUUUAGGGCUGUGCAGGCCAGUGUAAAGACAAAGAACGUGUAAGCUCAGCUGAAUUGCCUAGUGCACCAAAGAUCCUUCAUGUGUUUGGCCCAGAUCCCAGAGGGAAUGAUUCUGAGGAUGAAGCUGUCUUACCAACAAGAAAACAAGUGCACCAUACUGGAGCUGGACCAGAGAGGCCAAGCGUCCCGUAGCCUGCACCAGGGAAGGAUUUCAUCGACUGACCUGCACCAGAGAAAGACUGUUUCCUCUGAGCCACAUCAGUUGAUAAGA